rnacentral:rRNA from 1 species
UUUUGGACAAUGGGCGAAAGCCUGAUCCAGCAAUGCCGCGUGCAGGAUGAAGGUUUUCGGAUCGUAAAACUCUGUUAUUAGGGAAGAACAAAUGUGUAAGUAACUGUGCACAUCUUGACGGUACCUAAUCAGAAAGCCACGGCUAACUACGUGCCAGCAGCCGCGGUAAUACGUAGGUGGCAAGCGUUAUCCGGAAUUAUUGGGCGUAAAGCGCGCGUAGGCGGUUUCUUAAGUCUGAUGUGAAAGCCCACGGCUCAACCGUGGAGGGUCAUUGGAAACUGGGAAACUUGAGUACAGAAGAGGAGAGUGGAAUUCCAUGUGUAGCGGUGAAAUGCGCAGAGAUAUGGAGGAACACCAGUGGCGAAGGCGACUUUCUGGUCUGUAACUGACGCUGAUGUGCGAAAUCGUGGGGAUCAAACAG